AUUGCCCAUGUGCAUGUAAUUGUGAUGGACGCUGUAGGAGAGAGGAAUAACAUCGUGGGAGUGACAAAAAAGUAAGUCAGUGCUGCUAAAAACCUUCAAGGAGAAGACAGUGAGGAAUGGCUUUGCUGUCGUUUAGGGGAGGAAGCCUCUGUAAAACUCUCAAUGGCUUUCUAUCCAUCAAAAGGUGGAUGUUGGGAUUGAGUCAUCAGGCUGCUGAUUAUCCCGCACACCUGUCAUCAUCAUCUCGCGCACCUGCGCCUCAUGACGCUCACCUGGACUCCAUCACCUCCUUGAUUAUCUUCCUUAUAUCUGUCACACCCCUUGGUUCUUUACUCAGGUGUUAUUGACUGUGUAUUCAUGUCAGUGCAUUGUUUGUGUUUUGUGUUCAUUGUUUAUUUUAUUUAUUAAAACACUUACUCCCUGAA